rnacentral:misc_RNA from 1 species
UUUGGAUUCAGUCCACGAUGCCUACAGGAAAAAAUGUAAAUUCUUAAAUUCUCCUUGUGGUUUCUGUUGGGUUUUAAUUCUAGCCUCACCCAAAUUGCUUAGGACUAAAAGGCUUUGUUGUUGUUGUUGUUAAAUUGUACAAUGCACAGCUAUCAACUUGCCAAUAUGAAGUUAAAUAUAAACAGGUACAGCAAAACAAUGUCAUUUAAAAGCCAGAAAAAAAUAAUAAACUAAGUUCAAAAAUUAAUGCAAGCAAACAAGACAAGAGAAGUGACGACCCAUUCUAGCUACAGCAGCACAGUAGAUACUUCUCGCCAGUAACACGUCAUACUUUUGGGAGAGAUCAGCAUUCAGAUUUCUAAAAACAAACACAACACCAGAAACCAGCUAACAUAUGUUCAUAUUUUGGUUUCUUUCAAGCAGAACCAUGGAUUCAUGUCUCAGGAAAAGGAACGGUUUUAUGCAAAUUUGCUUUCGAUUGGACACGGCACUAGGCAAAUAUCUCCUAUAUUAUGAAAUGACAUUCGUUCAUCUAGUAGCAACUGGCCUACGAAGCCAGUUCGGAUACCAAAGAAAUAUCACCAAUGGAGUGCACUAUAAAUGGAAUCACGAUCUUUUGUCGAACAAUGAAAGACAACCAAUAAGUGUUUCAUUAAUAGGUACUGAGAAUUUGAAGCAUGCUCAGUCCAAGAAUUUAACAUGCAACUCAAAUCACCUUGGGAUCCUUAAUCAUUUCAA